rnacentral:tRNA from 1 species
GGCGCCAUAGGCAAGUGGGAAGCUAGGAGACUGCAAAUCUUCCAUGAGCGAGUUCGAUUCUCGCUGGCGCCUCAA